rnacentral:rRNA from 1 species
ACUUUAGGAUAACUUCAGGAAACUGGGGCUAAUACCGGAUAGGAGCUCCUGCUGCAUGGUGGGGGUUGGAAAGUUUCGGCGGUUGGGGAUGGACUCGCGGCUUAUCAGCUUGUUGGUGGGGUAGUGGCUUACCAAGGCUUUGACGGGUAGCCGGCCUGAGAGGGUGACCGGCCACAUUGGGACUGAGAUACGGCCCAG